rnacentral:rRNA from 1 species
AACGAACGCUGGCGGCAUGCCUAACACAUGCAAGUCGAACGAGACCUUCGGGUCUAGUGGCGCACGGGUGCGUAACGCGUGGGAAUCUGCCCUUGGGUUCGGAAUAACAGUUAGAAAUGACUGCUAAUACCGGAUGAUGUCUUCGGACCAAAGAUUUAUCGCCCAGGGAUGAGCCCGCGUCGGAUUAGCUAGUUGGUGAGGUAAAGGCUCACCAAGGCGACGAUCCGUAGCUGGUCUGAGAGGAUGAUCAGCCACACUGGGACUGAGACACGGCCCAGACUCCUACGGGAGGCAGCAGUGGGGAAUAUUGGACAAUGGGCGAAAGCCUGAUCCAGCAAUGCCGCGUGAGUGAUGAAGGCCUUAGGGUUGUAAAGCUCUUUUACCCGGGAAGAUAAUGACUGUACUGGGAGAAUAAGCCCCGGCUAACUCCGUGCCAGCCGCCGCCGUAAUAC